UACGUAGGGACCAAGCGUUGUUCGGAUUUACUGGGCGUAAAGGGCGCGUAGGCGGCGUGACAAGUCACUUGUGAAAUCUCCGGGCUUAACUCGGAAAGGUCAACUGAUACUGUGCGACUAGAGUGCGGAAGGGGCAACUGGAAUUCUCGGUGUAGCGGUGAAAUGCGUAGAUAUCGAGAGGAACACCUGCGGCGAAGGCGGGUUGCUGGGCCGACACUGACGCUGAUGCGCGAAAGCCAGGGGAGCGAACGGG
rnacentral:rRNA from 1 species